rnacentral:rRNA from 1 species
GACGAACCUUGCUAACGUUAUUCGGAAUUACUGGGCGUAAAGCGCGCGUAGGCGGUUUUGCAAGCCAGAGGUGAAAUGCCUGAGCUCAACUUAGGAAUUGCCUUUGGGACUGCGAGGCUUUGAGGACUGGAGAGGUGAGUGGAAUUCCCAGUGUAGAGGUGAAAUUCGUAGAUAUUGGGAAGAACACCGGUGGCGAAGGCGGCUCACUGGCCAGUUUCUGACGCUGCAGCGCGAAAGCGUGGGGAUCAAACAGG